rnacentral:rRNA from 1 species
UAAUACAGAGGGUGCGAGCGUUAAUCGGAGUUACUGGGCGUAAAGGGCGCGUAGGCGGUUAUGUAGGUGUGAUGUGAAAGCCCCGGGCUUAACCUGGGAAGCGCAUCGCAAACGGCGUAACUGGAGUACAAGAGAGGGUGGCGGAAUUUCCGGUGUAGCGGUGAAAUGCGUAGAGAUCGGAAGGAACGUCAAUGGCGAAGGCAGCCACCUGGCUUGAUACUGACGCUGAGGCGCGAAAGCGUGGGGAGCGAACAGGAUUAGAUACCCUGGUAGUCCACGCUGUAAACGAUGAGGACUAAAGGUUGGUAGGGGAACCUAUCAGUCUUGAAGCUAACGCGAUAAGUCUUCCGCCUGGGAAGUACGGCCGCAAGGUUG